UACAGAGGGUGCAAGCGUUGUUCGGAAUUAUUGGGCGUAAAGGGCAGGUAGGUGGUCUUAAAAGUCUACUGUGAAAUCCCCGGGCUUAACCCGGGACGUGCGGUAGAUACUCUAGGACUUGAGUGCCGGAAGGGUGCGUGGAAUUCCCAGUGUAGCGGUGAAAUGCGUAGAUAUUGGGAGGAACACCAGAGGCGAAGGCGGCGCACUGGACGGCAACUGACACUCAACUGCGAAAGCGUGGGGAGCAAACAGG
rnacentral:rRNA from 1 species